UGGGGAAUUUUGGACAAUGGGCGAAAGCCUGAUCCAGCCAUGCCGCGUGAGUAAAGAAGGCCUUCGGGUUGUAAAGCUCUUUUAGUCGGAAAGAAAGAGUUGCAAUGAAUAAUUGUGAUUUAUGACGGUACCGACAGAAAAAGCACCGGCUAACUACGUGCCAGCAGCCGCGGUAAUACGUAGGGUGCGAGCGUUAAUCGGAAUUACUGGGCGUAAAGGGUGCGCAGGCGGUCUUGCAAGUCAGAUGUGAAAGCCCCGGGCUUAACCUGGGAAUUGCGUUUGAAACUACAAGACUAGAGUGCAGCAGAGGGGAGUCGAAUUCCAUGUGUAGCAGUGAAAUGCGUAGAGAUGUGGAAGAACACCGAUGGCGAAGGCAGCUCCCUGGGUUGACACUGACGCUCAUGCACGAAAGCGUGGG
rnacentral:rRNA from 1 species